AGGAGCAGGAGAGAAGCAGUGUAGGGACGAGGCUCCAGGGGGCAGUGUGGGAGGACAGUGUAAGGGCUGGCCUGCAGCAGCCCCAGUGAAGCCAUGAUUCUGAGGGGCCCUCUGUGGGGGGGCUGGAGCAGGUGGCACCCAGGACCUCCAGGCUGAGAUGGACUUGAUGACCUUGCUCUUCCACUCCAAUUGGACCAUCGCCUUUGUCUUCUUCCUCGUGGUCAUGGUGCUCCUGCUGCUGUUUGGCAUCAACGGCUGCGCUGGCGGCUGUAUUCCCGGCUGUGGCGGCUGUAUUCCCGGCUGUGGCGGCUGUAUUCCCGGCUGUGGCGGGUGUAUUCCCGGCUGUGGCAGCUGUAUUCCCGGCUGUGGCAGCUGUAUUCCUGGCUGUGGCGGCUGUAUUCCCGGCUGUGGCGGCUGUAUUCCUGGCUGUGGCGGCUGUAUUCCCGGCUGUGGCGGUUGUAUUCCUGGCUGCUCCCUGCCCUGCUGACAAAGCUGCUCCUCCGGGUCCCAGAAGGAAUCCACCCCUACCCCAGGGAUUUGAUAACUUCGCCUGGAGCCUUAAUGCGGACAGUCCCUGCCUCCCUGCCUUUGCUCUGCUGGAGAGUAAUAACAAAACCUCGUUCAGCCAAA